rnacentral:rRNA from 2 species
UCAACUUGAGAGUUUGAUCCUGGCUCAGAACGAACGCUGGCGGCAGGCUUAACACAUGCAAGUCGAACGCAUCGCAAGAUGAGUGGCAGACGGGUGAGUAACGCGUGGGAACAUACCCUUUUCUACGGAAUAGCUCUGGGAAACUGGAAUUAAUACCGUAUACGCCCUACGGGGGAAAGAUUUAUCGGGGAAGGAUUGGCCCGCGUUGGAUUAGCUAGUUGGUGGGGUAAAGGCCUACCAAGGCGACGAUCCAUAGCUGGUCUGAGAGGAUGAUCAGCCACAUUGGGACUGAGACACGGCCCAAACUC